AUCAGCCGGUACUCGCGAAUGCNCUAGAGUUUUAAGUUUGAUCAUGGCUCAGAGNUCAACGCUGNCGGUAGGCCUAACACAUGCAAGUCGAACGGCAGCACAGGAGAGCUUGCUCUCUGGGUGGCGAGUGGCGGACGGGUGAGGAAUACAUCGGAAUCUACUCUGUCGUGGGGGAUAACGUAGGGAAACUUACGCUAAUACCGCAUACGACCUACGGGUGAAAGCAGGGGAUCUUCGGACCUUGCGCGAUUGAAUGAGCCGAUGUCGGAUUAGCUAGUUGGCGGGGUAAAGGCCCACCAAGGCGACGAUCCGUAGCUGGUCUGAGAGGAUGAUCAGCCACACUGGAACUGAGACACGGUCCAGACUCCUACGGGAGGCAGCAGUGGGGAAUAUUGGACAAUGGGCGCAAGCCUGAUCCAGCCAUACCGGUGGGUAA
rnacentral:rRNA from 1 species